UUUAAAGGGCCGCGGUAAUUUGACCGUGCGAAGGUAGCAUAGUCAGUAGUCUUUUAAUUGGAGGCUUGAAUGAAAGGUUGGACGAGGGAUAAGCUGUCUCCUUUACGUGGUUUGAAUUUAACCUUUGAGUGAAAAGGCUCAAAUUUUUUAGUGGGACGAUAAGACCCUAUAAAACUUGAUAUAAGUCUGAGGGGAUUUGUGAUUUCAGUAAAAAAUAGUCCUAUUAGGUAUAUAUUUCGUUGGGGAGAUGUAGAUAUAAUGUGUAACUGUCUUUAAAAUUGAAUAAAUAUAGUUAGUUUGUGAUCCUGUAUUUACGGAUUAAAAGAGUAAGUUACUUUAGGGAUAACAGCGUAAUUUUCUUUGAGAGUCCUUAUCGACAAGAGUAGUUGCGACCUCGAUGUUGAAUUAAAGUUUUAGUCAGGUGUAGCCGUCUGGCUGGUGGGUC
rnacentral:rRNA from 1 species